GACGAACGCUGGCGGCGUGCUUAACACAUGCAAGUCGAACGAAGUGGGAACGGGUGAGUAAUACGUGAGUAACCUCCCUCCUUUUUGGGAUAAGCCUUGGACACGGGGUCUAAACCGAAUAGCUGGGCUCGCGGCCUUUCAGCUUGUUGGUGGGGUGAUGGCCUACCAAGGCGGUGACGGGUAGCCGGCCUGAGAGGGUGACCGGCCACAUGGGGACUGAGACACGGCCCAGACUCCGACGGUAGGCAGCAGUGGGGAAGCUUCCGCAAGGGACGAAAGUGUGACGGAGCAACGCCGCGUGAGUGAUGACGGCCUUCGGGUUGUAAAGCUAUGUGAAUCGGGACGCGGUAACGGAAUAGAAAGCCACGGCUAACUACGGGCCAGCAGCCGCGGUAAUAC
rnacentral:rRNA from 1 species